rnacentral:lncRNA from 1 species
AAAGAGUAAAGUAAAAUUUAUUAUAUACCUGAAAUAAAAAAACAAACAAAUAGAAAGCGAGUAUACACAUUAAUCAGCAAGAUAUGUAAACACUAUCUAUCUUCUGAAUUACAGUCAAUCAUAACCAGAUAAAUAGCCCUACGCAAAAAUAUAACUGAUCCCCUCAAGCAGGAGUUUUUGCAUGUAUACCACAGAUUCACAUAACCAUGGAAGAACAAUAAAGAUUAAGAAUUUGGAAAGAAACGGUUCCUUAUGGUAUACAACAUAACUAAAUCGAUCAAAUAAAAUUUUGUGAAAAAGAAUGGCAUACAAGAAUUACGCAUUUACAAUACCUCAUCAAAUCAAUCAUCUAAUCCUUCAGAUCUGUCAAUAAUCCGACUGCAUCUUCCACUCAAUUUGACGAAUUUGUGCGUUUUCAUAAAAAAGAUCAACAAAUCAACCCAGUAUGCAAAUCAUCUGUUCUGAUCCCACAAAUCUGUGAUUAAUCCAACUGCAUACUCCCAUCAAUUUGACGAAUUUGUGAGUUUUACUAAAAUCAAGAAAUCAACUCAGUAUCCAAACCAUCUAUUCUGAUUAAAGUCUGUCGUGGGUCUUGAUUAAAUGCCUCCUCUUGAUUACCAAAAAAGUCGCCGCACAAAUCUGUAAGAUCGCGGCUAAACCCACGAAUAUGAAUCCAAGUUUCUUUCCAAAGUUGAGAUUUUUCGACAGCGGCGGCGGAGGAGGAGGGUGUUCUCUGUGUUGUGGUUUUGAUCUCCUAGGGCGGAUUGAACCUGGAGGGUGUGGUGCCUUUCUUGGAGGUGGUGGAGGCUGUGAAGAUCUCGGUGGUGGUGACGGUGGCGGGGGUGGAGAUGGAGGUGGGGACGGAGGUGGAGGUGGGGGUGAAGGUGGANNNNNNNNNNNNNNNNNNNNNNNNNNNNNNNNNNNNNNCGGCGAUUGUUGUUGGGAAUCGACAUAAACAGAAAAUAACCCAAAGUACAACAAAACGAAGGUCAACAAUGGCGAUUCCAUGAUUACAUGAAUCAAGUCAUCAAUAGAUAAUCAACAAGUUUAAGAGCUAGCAUCUCGGUUGUGUGGGUAUUAAGAUCGAAUCAAGAAAAUUACUCUCUCUUCUCUUCUUCGGUGAAUCGAACAUAUAGGAGGAACUAAUUUGCUGCCAAAUCUUGAAUCCUUCAAUCAGUAACCACAGAUUUGGUGAAGCUGAAAACAAAAAUGGAACCAAGGGUUUAUGAAAUGGAUUUGGUGGUCAACUGUGAUUCAAGAAUCUUUAGGGUUCGAUCAAUUUUGGAUCUACAGUUGGGGUGAAGGUGUUUGUGAUGUUGCCGGAGAGACAGAUAGAAAAGAGAGGUGGGUGGGUGGGGGAAGGAGACAGCGAAGAUG